rnacentral:rRNA from 1 species
UACGUAGGGCGCGAGCGUUGUCCGGAUUUAUUGGGCGUAAAGAGCUCGUAGGCGGCUUGUUGCGUCAGCUGUGAAAACCCGCAGCUCAACUGCGGGCUUGCAGCUGAUACGGGCAGGCUUGAGUUCGGUAGGGGAGACUGGAAUUCCUGGUGUAGCGGUGAAAUGCGCAGAUAUCAGGAGGAACACCGGUGGCGAAGGCGGGUCUCUGGGCCGAAACUGACACUGAGGAGCGAAAGCCAGGGGAGCAAACGGG